rnacentral:rRNA from 1 species
GUGGGGAAUUUUGGACAAUGGGCGAAAGCCUGAUCCAGCCAUGCCGCGUGCAGGUUGAAGGCCUUCGGGUUGUAAACUGCUUUUGUACGGAACGAAAAGACUCUGGUUAAUACCUGGGGUCCAUGUCGGUACCGUAAGAAUAAGCACCGGCUAACUACGUGCCAGCAGCCGCGGUAAUACGUUGGGUGCAAGCGUUAAUCGGAAUUACUGGGCGUAAAGCGUGCGCAGGCGGGUAUAUAAGACAGAUGUGAACUCCCCGGGCUCAACCUGAGCACUGUAUUUGAGAGUGUAUAGCUAGAGGACGGCAGAGGGGGAUGGAAUUCCGCGGGUAGCAGUGAAAUGCGUAGAUAUGCGGGAGGACACCGAUGGCGAAGGCAAUCCCCUGGGCCUGUACUGACGCUCAUGCACGAAAGCGUGGGGAGCAAACAGGAUUAGAAACCCGUGUAGUCC